CGUCUGCAGUCCUUGAGGUGCCCUUGGUUGUCUGUACACUGGGCGUACCAGGCUUGCAGAGACAGCAUCUGCCUGAGGAAGCCGAGGCAUGCCUGUAAGAGUAAUAGCAGCACCAUGCGCAAUAUUCCUCUGACAAUCCGAAUUCUGUUGCCACGUAGAUAAUGACUUGCCCCAUGUCAUUAUCCAUCCAUCAACAGUAAGAGCAACUUUGCAGUCUGGUAUUGUUUAGCAAAUAAAGCGACUUCUGCUGAACACUAUAAGCUGCUAUAAAU
rnacentral:snoRNA from 1 species